rnacentral:lncRNA from 1 species
UGAAUGGUUAAAUUCACCACACUCUUCGUAACCAACCAAAAUGCCAUCUAAGAAUACUUUAAAAAGACAAUAAAAAUAAAAAUUAAAUAGCUGGAAAAAAAACAACACCGACAUUAAUUAGCGCCAUCUGCAAAAUUCUAAAUUCUAAAAACCUAAAUUCUAAAACCAUAAACUCUAAAUCCAAAACACUAAACCAUACACUCCAAUCCUAAAAUCUAAACCCUAAAUCUUAAACCCUAAACUCAAACUCUACAUAAUAAACCCUAAAUCCUAAAGCCUAAACUCAAAACUCUAAACCCUAAACCCUAAAUCCUAAAAUCUAAACCCUAAAUCUUAAACCCUAAACUCAAACUCUACAUAAUAAACCCUAAAUCCUAAAGCCUAAACUCAAAACUCUAAACCCUAAACCCUAAAUCCUAAAAUCUAAACCCUAAAGCCUAAACCCUAAACCCAAAACUUUAAAUCUUAAACCCAAACCCUAAAUCAUAAACCCUAAACCCAAACCUCUAAACCGUAAAACUUAAUCUUAUUAACUAGCAUAUGUGUUUACAGUUUAGAGGUUUGGGUUUAGGGUUUAAGAUUUAAAGUUUUGGGUUAUGAGUUUAGGAUUUGAGUUUAGGGUUUAGGAUUUAGGGUUUAGAUUUUAAGGUUUAUUGUUUAGAGUUUUGGGUUUAGGGUUUAGAUUUUAGGAUUUAAGGUUUAUUGUUUAGAGUUUGGGUUUAAGGUUAACGAUUUAGGGUUUAGAUUUUAGGGUUGAGAUUUAUGGUUUAGUAUUUCGGAUUUAGGAUUUAUGGCUUUAGAGUUUAGGUUUUUAGACGGCGUUAAUUAAUGUCGGUGUUGUUUUUUUUCAGCUAUUUUUUUAUUUUUAUUGCUUUUUUUAAUUAUUCAUAUAUGGCACUUUGAUUGGUUAUGAA